rnacentral:SRP_RNA from 11 species
UGAGCGAAAAUUCCUCGCCAUGCGACAGCUUUGAAUUAUCAUUUUGGGAUGGAGGGCGAAGUUGAUGUUGUUGUUGAACGCGACGCAAUGGGCAAGGAGGGAGAUGGAGAAGAUAAAACUUCUCG